UACGAAGGGGGCUAGCGUUGCUCGGAAUCACUGGGCGUAAAGCGCACGUAGGCGGAUUGUUAAGUCAGGGGUGAAAUCCUGGAGCUCAACUCCAGAACUGCCUUUGAUACUGGCGAUCUUGAGUCCGGGAGAGGUGAGUGGAACUGCGAGUGUAGCGGUGAAAUGCUUAGAUAUCGUCCAGAACACCGAUAGCGAAGGCAGCUUACUAAGGAGUAACUGACGCUGAGGCACGAAAGUGUGGGGAUCAAACAGG
rnacentral:rRNA from 1 species